CCUACGGGUGGCAGCAGUGGGGAAUAUUGGACAAUGGGGGCAACCCUGAUCCAGCCAUGCCGCGUGUGUGAAGAAGGCCCUCGGGUUGUAAAGCACUUUCAGUGAGGAAGAACGCCUGGUGGUUAAUACCCAUCAGGAAAGACAUCACUCACAGAAGAAGCACCGGCUAACUCCGUGCCAGCAGCCGCGGUAAUACGGAGGGUGCGAGCGUUAAUCGGAAUUACUGGGCGUAAAGCGCGCGUAGGUGGCUUGAUAAGCCGGUUGUGAAAGCCCCGGGCUCAACCUGGGAACGGCAUCCGGAACUGUCAAGCUAGAGUGCAGGAGAGGAAGGUAGAAUUCCCGGUGUAGCGGUGAAAUGCGUAGAGAUCGGGAGGAAUACCAGUGGCGAAGGCGGCCUUCUGGACUGAAACUGACACUGAGGUGCGAAAGCGUGGGUAGCAAACAGGAUUAGAUACCCCAGUAGUC
rnacentral:rRNA from 1 species